GGGCAGCACCCCCUUUUUGCUGCCUUUCCAGGGAGAGCAGCAAGAAAAAGAAAGAGAGAGAGGCGAGCGAAAUUCCUGAAUGGAUAGACAGAUGCUACGUCACCGGGAGCCGCAUCCUCCACUCCACAAGAGGCUGGGAGCAGGGGGGAGACGGGCAGUCCAGCCGCAGGGGCCACCCGUGCAGCCUCUCCUCUUCACAGAAGCAGGGAGCUGGGCAUUCGAGAAGCAGCAGCCUGAUCUGUUUCUGGUGUCAUCGUAGGUGGCCACCUUUGGCUUCUGGGCUCCUCACCUGGGGCGGGUGGGUGCUCCACCACCCUCCCGCCCUCUUUUCUCCCUGUGGACCACAGAACCGCAUCCAGCACCACGGACAGCUCCCGG